UGGGGAAUAUUGGACAAUGGGCGAAAGCCUGAUCCAGCAAUGCCGCGUGAGUGAUGAAGGCCUUAGGGUUGUAAAGCUCUUUUACCCGGGAUGAUAAUGACAGUACCGGGAGAAUAAGCCCCGGCUAACUCCGUGCCAGCAGCCGCGGUAAUACGGAGGGGGCUAGCGUUGUUCGGAAUUACUGGGCGUAAAGCGCACGUAGGCGGCUUUGCAAGUCAGAGGUGAAAGCCCGGGGCUCAACCCCGGAAUUGCCUUUGAGACUGCAUCGCUUGAACAUCGGAGAGGUAAGUGGAAUUCCGAGUGUAGAGGUGAAAUUCGUAGAUAUUCGGAAGAACACCAGUGGCGAAGGCGACUUACUGGACGAUUGUUGACGCUGAGGUGCGAAAGCGUGGGGAGCAAACA
rnacentral:rRNA from 1 species